rnacentral:rRNA from 1 species
AGAGCUUGAUUCUGGCUCAGAACGAACGCUGGCGGCGUGGAUAAGACAUGCAAGUCGAACGGGGCAAGUGAGAUUACAUCAAGUUUGUUCAGUGGCGGACGGGUGCGUAACACGUGAGUAAUCUGCCGGGAGGAGGGGGAUAGCCCAUGGAAACGUGGAUUAAUACCCUGUGUGACGGGACUUGGCAUCAGGUCCCUGUCAAAGGUGCUGUUAAAGGCGCCGCCUUCCGAUGAACUCGCGGCCUAUCAGCUAGUUGGCGGGGUAACGGCCCACCAAGGCGAUGACGGGUAGCUGGUCUGAGAGGAUGACCAGCCACACUGGAACUGAGACACGGUCCAGACACCUACGGGUGGCAGCAGUCGAGAAUCAUUCACAAUGGGCGAAAGCCUGAUGGUGUGACGCCGCGUGGAGGAUGAAGGUCUUCGGAUUGUAAACUCCUGUCAAGUGAGAGUAAGAUUGGGAUAGGAAAUGAUCGCCAAUUUGAGAGUAUCACUAGAGGAAGAGGCGGCUAACUCUGUGCCAGCAGCCGCGGUAAUACAGAGGCCUCAAGCGUUGUUCGGAAUCACUGGGCGUAAAGGGUGCGUAGGCGGCGCGGAAAGUCAGAGGUGAAAUCCCGGAGCUCAACUCCGGAACUGCCUCCGAUACUCCCGCGCUCGAGGACUGGAGAGGAGUCUGGAAUUCACGGUGGAGCAGUGAAAUGCGUGGAUAUCGUGAGGAACACUAGUGGCGAAGGCGAGACUCUGGACAGUACCUGACGCUGAGGCACGAAGGCCAGGGGAGCGAACGGGAUUAGAUACCCCGGUAGUCCUGGCAGUAAACGGUGCACGCUUGGUGUGGCGGGAAUCGACCCCCGCCGUGCCGGAGCUAACGCGUUAAGCGUGCCGCCUGGGAAGUACGGUCGCAAGAUUAAAACUCAAAGAAAUUGACGGGGACCCGCACAAGCGGUGGAGUAUGUGGCUUAAUUCGAUGCUACGCGAAGAACCUUACCUGGGCUUGACAUGCGUCUCUAAGGCGGUGAAAGCCGUUGACUCCCGCAAGGGUGAAUUCGCACAGGUGUUGCAUGGCUGUCGUCAGCUCGUGUCGUGAGAUGUUGGGUUAAGUCCCGCAACGAGCGCAACCCCCGUGUCCUGUUGCCAGCGCGUAAAGGCGGGAACUCUGGACAGACUGCCUAGUUAAACUGGGAGGAAGGUGGGGACGACGUCAAGUCAGUAUGGCCCUUACGCCCAGGGCCGCACACGUACUACAAUGGCCGGCACAAUGAGAACCGAGACCGCGAGGUGGAGGAAAUCUAUAAAACCGGCCCCAGUUCGGAUUGCAGGCUGCAACUCGCCUGCAUGAAGUUGGAAUCGCUAGUAAUGGCACAUCAGCUACGGUGCCGUGAAUACGUUCCCGGGUCUUGUACACACCGCCCGUCACAUCAUGGAAGCCGGUUUCGCUCGAAGUAUCCGCGCCAACCCGCAAGGGGGGCAGGGUCCUAAAGCAAGACUGGUGACUGGGAUGAAGUCGUAACAAGGUA